rnacentral:rRNA from 1 species
GUGGGGAAUAUUGGGCAAUGGGCGAAAGCCUGACCCAGCAACGCCGCGUGAUUGAAGAAGGCUUUCGGGUUGUAAAAAUCUGUCCUAUGGGACGAAACAAAUGACGGUACCAUAGGAGGAAGCCCCGGCUAACUACGUGCCAGCAGCCGCGGUAAUACGUAGGGGGCGAGCGUUGUCCGGAAUGACUGGGCGUAAAGGGCGCGUAGACGGCUGUCUAAGUCUGGAGUGAAAGUCCUGCUUUCAAGGUGGGAAUUGCUUUGGAGACUGGAUGGGUUGAGUGCGGAAGAGGUAAGUGGAAUUCCCAGUGUAGCGGUGAAAUGCGUAGAGAUUGGGAGGAACACCAGUGGCGAAGGCGACUUACUGGGCCGUAACUGACGCUGAGGCGCGAAAGCGUGGGGAGCGAACAGGAUUAGAAACCCCUGUAGUCC